CAACCCUCAAGCCCCUUUGGACUUGGUGUUGGGGACCGGCGAUGGACAACCCGUCCUGUCGCCGCCCCCUAAAUGACUUGGCGGCCUCGUCGCGGCCCUCCUCUGCGUAGUAGCACACACCUCGCAACAGGAGCCCGGCGAAUGGCCACUGACCCGUAAAACCCCCUAACUUUUUUCAGAG
rnacentral:misc_RNA from 1 species